AAGGUUCGUGACAGGAGCAAAAG
rnacentral:piRNA from 1 species